UUCCACCGCGAGGGGUGGAGAAAUGUUUCUGGAAUUUUUUUUUUGCCCGUUACCGCAUAAACUCAUCGCGCGUCCGGCUCCUCUCGUCUUCCUCUUCGACGCUUCAUCCUCGGCUGUUGCUGCCUCAAUCCCCUCGUCGUCCCUGUCGCCCUCUCACUCGCCUGCUGUGAAGGUGAGUCAGCGUCGCUCUUGCUUCUUGGGGGUUUACGUCCUGCUUUCCGAGGCCUUUUUUCGUCGGAGGCCGUCGAUCGAAAAUGCCGAAGAGGGGAAAAGGGAGGGAGGAGGACUGGAACCCUAGCUCCGGCGACUCCGACGGUGACGCGCUGGCGAAGAAGGGCGCCAAGCGGUCGUUUGGCGGCAGCAGCGACGACGGGAUCGUUGUCUGCGAGGAGCCAUGAAAUUGGAAGCAACAAAAGGAGCUCACUUUGGAAGGAUUUGUAACACCUCAAGUUCCAAUCGAGGUUAGAUCAGUAUCUGUGAAAAUGGACAUAUUCUCAGUGUUGAAUUUCAUAAUCCUGUCAUCAAAACUAUGCUGGCAAAAUGUUCCAACUUUUCGUUGUAAAUUUGAUGUAUGUGCAACUAGAAGAUUGUCCAUGUUACAAAUUUUCUUUACGUCAACAUCUGCAACUACUCCAUUAAAUAAAUGGUCAGUGUUAUGUUUUUACAUUA